rnacentral:rRNA from 1 species
UAGGGAAUAUUGGACAAUGGGUGAGAGCCUGAUCCAGCCAUGCCGCGUGCAGGAAGAAGGCGUUAUGCGUUGUAAACUGCUUUUUGCCAGGGGAUAAAAUGAGCGUGCGCGCUUAAUUGAAGGUACCUGGUGAAUAAGCCACGGCUAACUACGUGCCAGCAGCCGCGGUAAUACGUAGGUGGCAAGCGUUGUCCGGAUUUAUUGGGUUUAAAGGGUGCGUAGGUGGCCCUGUAAGUCAGUGGUGAAAUAUCUCAGCUUAACUGAGAGGGUGCCAUUGAUACUGCAGGGCUUGAGUACAGAUGAGGUAGGCGGAAUUGACGGUGUAGCGGUGAAAUGCAUAGAUAUCGUCAAGAACACCGAUAGCGAAGGCAGCUUACCAAGCUGUAACUGACACUGAGGCACGAAAGUGUGGGGAGCAAACAGGAUUAGAUACCCACGUAGUCCCUGAGCGGGCUGGCAAGGCGCAU